UACGGAGGGUCCGAGCGUUAUCCGGAAUUAUUGGGUUUAAAGGGUCCGUAGGCGGGCGAUUAAGUCAGUGGUGAAAGUCUGCAGCUCAACUGUAGAACUGCCUUUGAUACUGGUCGUCUUGAGUUAUAGUGAAGUUGCCGGAAUAUGUAGUGUAGCGGUGAAAUGCAUAGAUAUUACAUAGAACACCGAUUGCGAAGGCAGGUGACUAACUAUAUACUGACGCUGAUGGACGAAAGCGUGGGGAGCGAACAGG
rnacentral:rRNA from 1 species